rnacentral:rRNA from 1 species
UACGUAGGGUGCGAAGCGUUGUCCGGAAUUAUUGGGCGUAAAGAGCUCGUAGGCGGUCUGUCGCGUCGGAUGUGAAAACCCAGGCUGCACCUCGGGCCUGCAUUCGAUACGGGCAGACUAGAGUUCGGUAGGGGAGACGUGGAAUUCCUGGUGUAGCGGUGAAAUGCGUAGAGAUGUGGAGGAACACCGAUGGCGAAGGCAGCCCCUGGGUCAAGAUUGACGCUCGAUGCACGAAAGCGUGGGGAGCAAACAGG